CGUUAUUUUUAUUUUUAUACGAAGUAAGAAUGUAAGGGAAGUACCUUUUGUAUCAGGGUUAUUUAAUUGAGAAAAUAAUUAUAUUUCUCGAUAUUAACUAAGUUAAAUAAAGUAUUAUAUGUUGAAAAAUUAUAUAAAUUUAUUUAGUAGUGAGAAUUUUUCGUAGUUAAAGGUAUCUAGUUGUUAAGGUGAAAUUACUAAAAGGGAUAAGCUUUUUAUUGAUGUAUAUUUUAAUGUUUGUAUGAUAAAUUAGGCUUAAGAUUAGCCGUAUUUAUAAGUUGUUUAAAAUUUUUUAUGGGUGCAGGAAUGAUGAUUAUUUUGUCUGGGUAGUUUGGUUUUGCAAUAAGAUUGUAUUUAUAAUGAAUAAAUUAGUAUUUUUUUUGGUCAUGAAAUAUAACUCGGAUAUUGUAGAAUAGUUUAUCAAAAACAUUUUUUUAUUAUUAUAAAAUAAGGCCUGCCCAGUGUCAUGUAAACGGCUGCGGUAUUUUGACUGUGCUAAGGUAGCAUAAUAAUUUGUUUUUUAAUUGGAAACUGGGAUGAAAGGUUUUAUCUAUAAUAGGUUUUAUUUGUGAAGAAGAUAAUUUAUAUUUUCGGUAAAAAUACCGUAAUCAGGUAAAGUGACGAUAAGACCCUAUAAGCUUUAUUUAUGAGAUUAUAAAAGUAAGGAUUUAGUAUUUUUUUAUUUAUAUUGAUUUUGCUGGGGCAGUAAUAUUAUUUAAUUUAGUAUAUUUAUUUGACAUCGUUAAAUGAUUGCAAGAUCUUUUUAUGAGGAUAAAUAGGGAGAGUUACUGUAGGGAUAACAGCGCAAUAAUUUUGGAGAGGUCUUAUUGAUAGAAUUGAUUGCGACCUCGAUGUUGAAUUAAAAUUUCUUUUUAUUGCAGAAGGUAAUAAAGAAGGUUUGUUCAACCUUUAAAUUUUUACAUGAUUUGAGUUCAAAUCGGUUUAAGCCAGAUUGGUUUCUAUCUUUUAUUAAAUAUAUUUUGUGUAAGUACGAAAGGGACACAUAAAGUUU
rnacentral:rRNA from 1 species